rnacentral:tRNA from 1 species
UCCCUGGUAGCUCAGUUGGUAAAGAAUCUGCCUGAAAUGCAGGAGACCUGGGUUUGAUUCCUGGGUUGGGAA